UGAGGGCCUGAGCUGACAGAUGGGGGAAGAGAGCAGAGUUAGGGGGGUCUUGGGAGGUCGGGGAGAAGGAAGGCUGGAGAGGGGAGGGGACCUGGAGAGAGCCUGGAAAGAGGACAGCAAGGUUCCGGGCCGGGCUGGCCCUGCUGGCUGCUGGCCCUGGGGUGCCCGGGUCGGAGUGCGGGAAGGAAGGCAGGGAGUCAGGCGGAGGAGGCCUAAGGGGUCCCCAGCCCUCGAAGGGGCAGGCGGAACCGGGCAGUAGCUGCCCUGGAAAUGAGAGGGAAGGCAGGAAGUGGGGCGCAGGGCUGCAGGGGGGCCAGGAAGGCAGACCUAGAACUCGUGGAUACCAGCGGCCCCUUUUCUUUCCAGACUGAGGGUUGUGACCCCGCCUGGGGAUGAGGCCUGGUCUCGUGGAAACUGCACCUAGUCUCGUGGGGCUGACAGCACAGCCCAGGGUGGUAUGUAAUGGUGGCUAAGCCUCCGGCUACAGCCCGGUGGCACCCAGGCCUGAGUGUGAGGUGAGGCCCCUGGUCAGCGGUGAGGGGGUGGUGAAAAGUGAUUCAGGGGCUAAGGUGCCACCUUAGGGGGUGACUGGUGCGGCGCCCAAUGCAUGGGACAGACGGGGGCUGCUGAGGCAGGGUGUAUGUGUCCGUGGACAAAAUUGACCGAAGCUUUAUUUUCCAGGUGGCAGUGCUCUCCUUUGGACUUUCCCCUCUAGGUUUGAAGCUGUUCUCUUCUGUGAGCUCACCCUGCCCUUCUUCUUCCCUUUAAUUCUCUUGAGAGUAUCCAUUCUCUUAAAAACUUGCUUCUGGUCAUCCGGUAAGCCCCGGGGAGGUAGCUACAGCCCCUGGUGGAGACAGAAUUGCUGGUAAUAACGAAAGAGAUAGUUUCCCUGCUCUGGGUGGGGCCGGGUGGUGAGCCCCACUCCAGGCCCUCGGAGCCUGCCUGUGGAGCGGGUCGGGAUUGAAGGUGGCGAUGGUAGGAGCUAAGGGCUGUGAAUUUGAUAAAAAUGCCUCAUGGACCCUGGUUUGUUGCUGUAGCGCUCGUCAUGGUGAUCGGAUGGCACCAGGAGAAAUGGAGCCCCUGGCCAGUGUCCUGAGUCGUAGCAAUGCAGGAGGGGAGCCCUGAAGGAGAGAGCCCGCCUAAAUUGAUGUCUGCAGAUUCAGUUUCCAGAGGCUUAGGAGGAGGAAGCUCUCCAGUGUCAUGUUUCCAGGCCUGGCCCAGGAUGCCCUGUAUUCGGGAGGCUGCCAUUAAGUUUGUUGCUACGAAGGUUCGAGAAGAUUCUAAGCUGUUGAACAUUUUAACGUUGAUGCUACAACACGUGAUGCCUUGUAGAUGAAGCUUGCAGUUGGAGCCCCAGUGACCCCUCUCACCUACCUCCUGCCUGCCUGUGCAUUGGUCCAAGGGAUUUUUAGUGUGAUGAUUUAACCUGUGUGCUGGGGAAAGCUGUUAAAGUUCUUAGUGGUUAAGCAGAUGGAAUAUUUAGAUGAGAUAGACUGGUAAAUUGGGGGUGGGUGGGUGGUGGUGGUCAUUGUGUUGUGCUCAAUCUUGAGAAGGGUACAAGUUGGUCAUCCCAGAUUCUGUGUGUUGAAGACAACGGAUCUAGUUUCGGCCUUGGGAUCAGCACUGCAGAUUAUCUCCAGUGAUGUGUGAUUCAUCUUGCUCCGUGUAUUUUUAACUUGAAUUUUACUUGAUUAGAUUUCAAAGUACUUUUGGCAUUCAGAUGUUAGAUCCUUGAGGUGGGGGUUGUGGGGAGAGGAAGGCUCAGCUUGGUGCAGGCCUGGGCAGGGUAGGGGUGGGAAAGGGGAGAGCUUUGGUUAGGUUUAUAGCACAGAGGUUGGGGGCGGUGGAGAAUGAAGGAGAUUAUCUGGAGAAGAAAGAAUCAGGCAGAGCUCUGGGGGGAUUUAUUUAGUAUAGCUCGUGAGCAUUGAAAAUACUAGUUAAUUCCUGAAAGUUGUUGAUGCUAGUUAAAUUGUUGCUUUGGAAGCAACCAAAGUUGCUUGGAAACUAGUUUCUAAAGGGCUCAGAACUUGGCUGCUAAGUGGCAGUAAAAAAAAGCAAAAUUGUUUUGCUUUGCUGCAAGUGGGAAGACUCUGAAAUAACUGAAAACCUGAACAUCGCUCUUAAAAGAAGUGUCAGAAACCUAAAUUAGCAGGAGAUUAACAUGCUUAACUGCUUUGCAAGCUUCCUAAGUGGUUUAUCUGAAGCUGUGAUGAUAGGGAGCAUUAAGUCUUAAAGUCUUCCAAAUGCCCCAAUUGUGGGCUGAUAAGGUAUUUAAGUUUAGGAUUUUGGUGUGCACCUAAAAUGAGAUUAGAUGUAGUUUUUUGGGCUUGUAACUCAUUUUUUGUCACAGAUAUUUUGUGAUUGAAAAUUCUAUACAAAGUGAAAUGAAACAUUUCUAAGGAAAUUUUGUAUGUGUAUGUUGUCCUUGUGAUAAAUACUUUUUUUUUUUUGUCUUUUCUGUGUUGUGGAUCAGUAUUAAUAACAGCCAAAGAUUUGUUUUUAUUUUUUCAAAACCAUAGCCAUUGUAAGAUAACUGAAGUCUAAAGUUACUUGUAAUAUCUGGUAGCAAACAAUGUAUGUACUCAUGCUAAGUUUAGAGUGAAUAAUCCAUUAUGUUUCUAAUUUGAAAAGUGUUUCAUUUUGUGCUUUGGAAAUGGCCCAGAACUACAGGGGAAACUUACCAGCCAAAACCACUUUGGGAUGGGGUAAAGAGGAAGAGGGGUAGGGAAAGCCUUUCCUAGACGUGGUCUAUUUGUAAACAUUCUGAGAAAGAUCUGAAAAUCCUUUGUUGGGAUAAUACUUGGAGAUGGGUCUAUCGGAUUUAUAAAGUAAUGCCAUUUCGAUCAUGUCUCCCUCUCAAAAUUUACUUAAGAAUCUAUACAUGGUGCCCUUGGGAUUUUUUCUGUCUACUGGGUUUUUGUAGUUUUUUUAUUUUAAUGUUAAAAUGUUGGCGUGGUAGUUCUUAACUGGUGACUUGGCAUGAUACAAUUUCCGUCAUUGGAAUUUUAAGAGUCUUAGUCAUUCGUGUGUGGGGAAAUGUGUGGGUAAACUUGUGAAACUGAAACUGCAAGGUGGUUAAAAGUUCUUGUAUGCUGCUGUGUUUUGUAAGAACUGGCCGUAUUGCAUCAUGUACAUGAAAUGAAGUACUAAUCAUGUUUUCCCUUCACAGCACAAAUAAAGGUUUUGAGUUCUGAGCUCCUAGAA